rnacentral:misc_RNA from 1 species
GUACAUUAGUGCUUGCGCACGACAGUAUAUUUCAUUACAUUCGAGUUUGUGUAAAAUUCCUCUGCCGGCCGAAGCUAGCAAGAGGCCAGAGGUUCACAGGGUAUUGGAUGAAAGCCACCGACGUGCACUUGCCAGUUUCUGGCCAGCACAGAAGGCAACCAUUCGUAAUCAUUAAUGAUCCUUCCGCAGGUUCACCUACGGAAA